UACGUAGGGCGCAAGCGUUGUCCGGAUUUAUUGGGCGUAAAGAGCUCGUAGGCGGUGUGUCGCGUCGGCCGUGAAAACCUGCAGCUUAACUGUGGGCUUGCGGUCGAUACGGGCAUCACUGGAGUUCGGCAGGGGAGACUGGAAUUCCUGGUGUAGCGGUGAAAUGCGCAGAUAUCAGGAGGAACACCGGUGGCGAAGGCGGGUCUCUGGGCCGAUACUGACGCUGAGACGCGAAAGCGUGGGGAGCAAACAGG
rnacentral:rRNA from 1 species